AUUCAUAAAGACUGAUACUUUGUUGAUUUUUACUUCCAGACUGUUUCAGAAGCCGAAGAUAUACCUUCCUAUAAACCAAACCCAAACCCGAAUUCUCAUUCUCAAUCUCAAUCAAUCGAGAUUUCUUAUUACAAUCUGCUUCAAACCCACCUUUCUCCCCUAGAUCGCAGCCCUAUUCGGACCCCUUCCAAGUUCCAGCCAACAUUGCAAGGUUCUGAUUGUUGCCAAUGGAAUCGGAGGAUGAUAUGCACGAUGCUGAGUCUCCCGAUGAUUACUACAGCGAUGAAAUGGCUGACUGCAGCGACUGCGAUGACGGCGAUUACCAGUUCAUAGACCAAGACCCAGAUGAUGCCGAUGACAUCAUAACUAGCCGUCAACAGAAGAAUUUUAGUGUGUUGAAGGAGGCAGAUAUUCAACAGCGUCAGGAAGAUGAUAUUACAACUGUUUCCACUGUUCUUUCUAUAACUAGAGUAGAUUCCAGUAUCCUACUUCGUCAUUACCACUGGAGUGUGAGUGAUGUCCAUGAGGCAUGGUUUGCUGAUGAAAAUAGAGUUAGGAAAACAGUGGGGUUAUUGGAGGGGCCAAUUGUUGAAUUCCCUAAUGCUAGAGAGAUUACUUGCGGGAUCUGCUUUGAGAGUUAUCCUAUUGACCAGAUCAGUACAGCCGUUUGUAGUCAUCCCUUCUGCCAUAUAUGCUGGCAAGCUUACAUCAACACAUCAAUUGACGGUGGUCCUGGAUGCUUAAUGCUGAGAUGCCCUGAUCCAUCUUGUGAAGCUUCUGUUGGUCAAGAUAUGGUCAACCUAUUGGCAACUGAUGAUGAUAAAGACAAGUAUGCUCGUUAUGUUGUCAGAUCUUAUAUUGAAGACAGUCGCAAGACAAAGUGGUGUCCUGCACCAGGCUGCGAGUAUGCUGUUGAAUUUGUGAUAGGUAGUGGUGGCUAUGAUGUUACAUGCCUUUGCUCAUAUGGAUUCUGUUGGAAUUGCUCUGAAGAAGCUCAUCGUCCUGUGGAUUGUGGCACUGUGUCGAAAUGGAUUUUGAAGAACAGUGCCGAAUCAGAAAAUAUGAACUGGAUACUAGCAAAUUCCAAACCUUGUCCAAAGUGCAAGAGACCGAUAGAGAAAAACCAAGGUUGUAUGCAUAUGACAUGCACGCCGCCUUGCAAAUUUGAAUUUUGCUGGCUAUGCCUUGGAGUAUGGUCUGACCAUGGAGAAAGGACAGGUGGUUUCUAUGCAUGUAACCGCUAUGAGGCUGCAAAGCAAGAGGGAGUGUGCGAUGAAGUUGAAAGGAGAAGGGUGAUGGCUAAAAACUCAUUAGAGCGAUACACGCAUUACUACGAAUGUUGGGCAACUAAUCAGUCGUCAAGACAGAAGGCUCUUGCUGAUCUGCAUCAGAUGCAAAUCGUGCAACUUGAAAAGCUCAGUGACAAACAAUCACAACCUGAGUCUCAGCUGAAGUUCAUCAUAGAGGCCUGGCUUCAGAUAGUUGAAUGCAGGCGUGUUCUAAAAUGGACUUACGCAUAUAUGGAUAUUAUCUUCAGACUGUUUCAGAAGCCGAAGAUAUACCUUCUUAUAAACCAAACCCAAACCCGAAUUCUCAUUCUCAAUCUCAAUCAAUCGAGAUUUCUUAUUACAAUCUGCUUCAAACCCACCUUUCUCCCCUAGAUCGCAGCCCUAUUCGGACCCCUUCCAAGUUCCAGCCAACAUUGCAAGGUUCUGAUUGUUGCCAAUGGAAUCGGAGGAUGAUAUGCACGAUGCUGAGUCACCCGAUGAUUACUACAGCGAUGAAAUGGCUGACUGCAGCGACUGCGAUGACGGCGAUUACCAGUUCAUAGACCAAGACCCAGAUGAUGCCGAUGACAUCAUAACUAGCCGUCAACAGAAGAAUUUUAGUGUGUUGAAGGAGGCAGAUAUUCAACAGCGUCAGGAAGAUGAUAUUACAACUGUUUCCACUGUUCUUUCUAUAACUAGAGUAGAUUCCAGUAUCCUACUUCGUCAUUACCACUGGAGUGUGAGUGAUGUCCAUGAGGCAUGGUUUGCUGAUGAAAAUAGAGUUAGGAAAACAGUGGGAUUAUUGGAGGGGCCAAUUGUUGAAUUCCCUAAUGCUAGAGAGAUUACUUGCGGGAUCUGCUUUGAGAGUUAUCCUAUUGACCAGAUCAGUACAGCCGUUUGUAGUCAUCCCUUCUGCCAUAUAUGCUAGCAAGCUUACAUCAACACAUCAAUUGACGGUGGUCCUGGAUGCUUAAUGCUGAGAUGCCCUGAU